rnacentral:rRNA from 1 species
UGUCUUUUUGAAGAUAAUUUAAAGUCUAAUCUGCCCACUGAUUUAAUAUUAAAGGGCUGCAGUAUAUUGACUGUACAAAGGUAGCAUAAUCAUUAGUCAUUUAAUUGAUGACUUGUAUGAAAGAUUGGAUGAAAUAUAAUCUGUCUCUUAAUUAUUUAUAAAAUUUAAUUUUUUAAUUAAAAAGUUAGAAUAAUUUAAAAAGACGAGAAGACCCUAUAGAGUUUUAUAUAUGAGUUUAUUAAGAUUAUUUAUAAAAAAAAAUUAAAAUUAAUUUAUAUAUUUUAUUGGGGUGAUAGAAAAAUAUAUAAAACUUUUUUUAUAUAAAAACAUUUAUAAGUGAUUAAAUGAUCCAAUAAUAUUGAUUAAAAGAAAAAAUUACCUUAGGGAUAACAGCGUAAUUUUUUUUUUUAGUUCAUAUAAGAAAAAGAGUUUGCGACCUCGAUGUUGGAUUAAGAUAAAAUUUAAAUGCAGAAG